CUCUAGUGAAAGUCCAUUUUUCCUGCUCCUUUUUGUUAAUCACAGGAUUCCAUUAUACUGACAAUAAUCUACAGUUAUUCGUAUCUGAACACUGAUCCCCAGUGAAGCCGGGAUGGAGUUAAAAUGCUUGGAAUUUGUUCUCUAUAGUGCUGCUUUUCAUGUUGAGCAAAAAUACAGCACUUAUAAUUUGUUCCCCUGUAGUAUUUGUCAUCUUUUUACCGCUCUCUUAAGAGUGUAAUUCCUGCCCAAUAUUUUCUUUUUAAACUACCUCUCAUUUAAAUACACGCUUUGUGUUUUCUUAAAAUAAACGCUGUCAUGCAGCUCUUCUACUUCCUUUAUUGAGAAAACAGUAAUACUCAUACGAUUGUGGAAAAAAAGUUGAGAGGGAGGGAGAGACAGGGAAAGGAAGCAGAAAUCAUAACCAAAAAGUUCACACUGAUUAUUGAAAUAGUCAGUGCUCCCUUGGGCUGUGGGGAAGGGAAAGGCACUUUUACAGUGUUUUGGAACAUUUUUCUUCCUCGGGAUUCUGACUUUUCACCACAUAUUUAUGCUACGUUGAGAGAGGAGAAGAAAAGAAAAAGAACUCAAAGGUUUUACAGUUUCGAAGCAAAUAAAGGGGAGAUGCUGUUGUGGCUGCAGAGGUGAGCUAUGGACAGCUGGUGGAAGAGAAUCAGGCCCCAUGGUAAAGAGGGAAAGGACGGAGCAGCUCUCUUGUCUGCCAGAAGAUGAACAUUGCAGUGGGCAUACCAUGGGGCCAGACCACCAGCAGAGCAUUAAACAAGGACAGAUGUGAAUGCCAGGAUAAAAAUGAAGACAUUCCUGAAGUGCUUACUGAAGCUGUUGAUGAUAGUAUUUCAGAACUUACAAGUUUUCCUGACCCAGCUUUGAGCAGUUUACAGUGUCAUCAUAUUUUCCAUCUGAAAAUCUAGGCAGAAGAGCAUGUUUACAAUAGUUCCGUUAGAAAUAGCUUGAGAAAGUCUUCAGUGGGAGAAACCCAAAAUAGAAAUGAGGGUGGUUCCAAUGCCUCCCUGAAGGUAUGGUAUCUUCUUGCGAAGCUCCCUGAGAACCAGGAACAAGGAGCUGUCACAGCAGCAAGGAUGGGCUAUCCCACAGCUGUCAACAGGAGCACCCAGGAGCUGCAGUGAGGGUGUUGGACACUGUACAAAAGAGGAGCAGAUCAUCAGUAGCAGUAUUUAGAGGCAUUGCAGAGCUUUGACCAUUGAAUUCAUCAUAGCGAGCUGCAACCUGCUGCUCUUUCCACCUGGAGGAGGAUGCAGUGAGUCUGCAAUGAUACACAAGUCCAUGUGGGAUCCCUGAUCUCUUCUGCUGCUCAAAGCCACAAGGGAGGAGAUAUCUUCUGCGUAGCCUGUUUCCAACAGGUGAUGUGCAUUUGGGCAGCUGUCAUGUCAUGCCUGGAAUGUGAUGAAAACAAGAGGUCCUGACUGCUCACCACUGAGGAGCUCCCAGAGCACUUCUCACAGGAGCAGGGGUGUUAACCCUGAUAUCCUGGUCAAAUUCCAACAAGGCUAAUUAUAUCCCACUUACCUAAAACUCUGCCAUGCUUUCCCUGCUUGCUGCAAGGUCUUGCUAUGUGAAACAGGCUCUCUUCUGAUCUUAUUAAACACUAUGGUCUUCCGCGUCAGAUGGGGAUAUAUUUAGGGGACAGCUAAAGUUAGGUCUCAGGUUGAUAUAUUUCUUGUCCAGCGCAGUAAUGCUGGACGUAAACCGACAUUGUUUGCAGAAAGAAGAGUCUGCAUUGCAAGUGUAGUUAAGAACAGCCACUUGCAAGCAAUGGUAAUGGCCAUAGUAACAGUAUCCAUUGAGUUCCUGUAUCCGGCCUUCUGCCUGAUGGACAUUAAGAGCAGGAUCAGUGUGGGUGGGGGCUGAACACUGAACAAAAGUGUGGGGGAAGAGUGGCACAGGUGACUGUUCCCUGGCAGUGAGAUCAAGGUGCCCAAGGGGGAGGCAGAAGGGGCUGUGCUUCUUUCUGAGUCUGCUUCAAGUGCACUACACUAUAUUGAGGAUGCUUGUGACAGUGUAGCCAUUGAAGACCCUAUAGUAUGUGAAUUUCCUGAGGAUCUCAGGCCUAUGAAGUGGUACUAAGAGAUUAUUUUAGCUUUGCAAAGGUGCUGUGAUAUCAAGCAACGGGGAAAAAAAUAUGUGUUUAUAGUUUUGACUAAAGAGUAAAUUAUCAAAGAUGACAUUGAAGUUGCCAUAUUGCAUCUUAUUAUUUGUUUUUAAAGACUGUAGAUGUGGUGUGUAAUGCUGCUGAAAUGGCCACAUGAUAAUCCCAGUGAGGCUUUUUGCUUCUUGUUUAGAAAUAAAUAUUUCCAGGAGGAAAACAAAUCAUGUAAAUGCACCUCUGCCCCUUUAUCUACUGGAAUCUCAUCUAUCUCAUUAUCUUUUCGGUACAAGCUGCCACCAAAAUAUCUUCGAAAUGAACAGAUGUUACAGGUUUAGCUGGAAUUGCCCAAAGCAGAUGUAAGAGUGGAUACCAUUCUUACUGUUGUUUCUUAUCUCUUUGCCCGCAAAUCAAAGUUGCAUCUUUGUCUGCAAAGGUUCCUGUUGAUAUGUGAGUCAGCAAAGCCAUCUCCUUAUAGCUCACCUUGCAUGGCAGAGCCCUACAUUCACAGAUUUUCUUCUCCAUGAUACACAUGCAUGCGUAUGCACACAAACACACACACACACACACACACACAUACACAUAUGUGUUUACACACAUAUUGUUAAGUUGUUGGUAGCACAGCGGUGCUGUUACCUAGUAGAAUUAUUUCAGAUUGCUUCAAAUUUUUAGUUGAAUAGAUGACAGUAGGAUAUGUAUUAGAUAAAUUAAAUGUGUUGGUGUUCACACAAGUAUAUGCACUUGAAGCUAUUUUUGUUUUUUGAAGACAAGUGCCUUUAGCACAACUAGCAACCUUCAAAAAUGUGAAUAAGGGCACAGAGUCUUAAAAGCCUCUUCCUGUCUACUGUGUCUCCCCAGACAGGCUGAGGCCACAUUAAUGGAAAAAGCACAAAGUGAACAAGAUGACCUAACAGAUGCUACCAGGAUGUACUGUACUUUUCCUAAGAUAAAUAAAGCCUGUCAUUUUCAGCAGUAUCAGCAAACCCCACAUAUUCUUUACAGUGUAAUAAAAUAUAGCAUUAUAGUGUUCCAAAUUGCUUUGUAAGUCCAUAUUCUUUUAAAUAUUAUUGGUUCUCCUUAUUCUGUUUAACAUACUUAAAUAUUAAUUACAUGAGUAUGGCAUAAAAUAUCCAUCAAUCUAGCUCAUUUUCACUGUCUUAAAUGGGAGCUUAGAGUAAAAAAAAAAAAAACAGCAUAUAAAGUAAACUCUGAACUAUGGCAAUUUAGAACCUCAGAUUUCGGACUUAUAAGCUGCUUUUAUUCAGCAGCAAAAUUACUCCAAAUGACUUUGAGUUUCUGUAAAAAAAAAAAAAAACUACAGCAACACUAAGGCACUCAAUUUCUGCAAGGACUCACAGAUUUAUCAUCUCAGAACUAUAAAAGAGCUGGGGAAAAGAAACUCUCCCUUCACUAAAGAUGAAUUUGUAUUUCUUUUUUUACUGUAGAUAGGUUUGUACAUCAGAUGAAUGAAUCUUAAAAUUUCUCUGAGGAGAGAAAGAUUUCUCUCAGGUUAACAGAUGCCACACCAGUUUGCUCAGACAUGUGCAGCACACAAAUUCUGGACAAAAUUUCUGACUAUUCUUAUUCCAGCAGAGCCAGUUUGCAGUUUCUCAAACCAAUCAGCAAAGCAGAAUUUUCCUACCCCUAGAGAUAGGUUUUGUUUUGAAAGAAAUCAUUCUUGCAAUGGAAGAUGGCUUUGCACCCAUCUUCCCUGCCUCUAUCUAGCCUUUCUGUCCUUGAAACCUUGUCCUUUCCACAGAAGCACAGAGCUAGUUGUAUAAACUGGCAGCUCAUAUCUAUCUCUGUGUCCACAUGGAAGUAGGUCAUUUUUUGCUUUUUCUUAAAGACUGUUGCUUUCAGCAGCAUUAUUUUUUUUACAAUCAGUAUAGUGCUGCCUCCAGCACCUUGUUUCUGGGAGUGACAAGCUGCCCUAAGCCUAAUAAAUGCUCAUAAUGAGUGGUUAUAGAAAACUAGUUUCAAACAGGAGGUUCUUUCCAUAGCAAAGACUCAGCUCUGCAGUGUGUCCUGCACAGCCUGAGCUAUCCCAUAAUACUUGGAUCAUCAUUAAGCCACUGAAUGUUACAAAGGACUGUUAGCCAGAGGAGCUCAUUGUUUCAUAUGACUGCUUUUAUAUCAAUUUUUUUUCCUGUCUAACAUAAUUGUGUUAUUAUUCUUAUAUAUUUCUAAUCCUAUUUGAAUCCUGUUCUGCUCUUGAUCAUUCCUGAUCUCACCUGGAAAAUGGGUAAUUGUCACUGUUUGUCUUACUAGCAAGAUAUUUAUCUAGGCUUUUCCAAUUAUCUGCUGAUAUUUCCCUUAUGUAAUGGGAAACAUGAAGUCAUCUGAUACCAAAGUUUGAGUAAAUCUAGUUCAUGUUGAAAUUGCCUCAAAUGGUACCAGUGACAAAAUCAAGAUCAUAGUAUGCAAUAUUCUGCUGAGAGUUUAAAACAGCAAUUUUGAAGAAGACAUCUACAUCCCAAGUUCUGGGUCAAGAAAUAGAGCUAUGUAUAUGCCAUUUGAAGCAUGAACCUCCACAGUGCAUUACGAUUCUUCCAUCUUGAUACAGAAUGCUACCUGAGCUGUUCUACUGUAUCAGAUGAAAAUCAAUAAGGAAUUGCAGAUCUAUAAAAAUAGACAUCUGAGUGGUAUAGAAGACUAUACCACAGAAGAUGGAUUCAUUUUCAGUUUUGUCAUGUUUCUCUUCUGUACUUCCAUAAUCAGAAAUGCAUUACUUCAACAGAAUGCUUAAAAAUUCAUACAUGUGACAUAAUGCUUCACUGAACUUUAAGAUGUCAGUUUGGAAAAAGAAAGAUGGAAAAUUUGGACUUCGUAUUUUAAACAGUUUCCUUACAAUAAACUUUUCUGGUCUGCUGAGUCUUGUCCCAAGUGGAAUUGGUGAGAUACAUCCUCAAGAGGACAGUUAGACUGUUGAAAACACUUGGAAAUAUCUCCUGGUUAUGUCUUAUUUAUAGAAGUCAACUGAGAGACAUGUGGUGUUCUGUCAUAUUGCUCUUCCAAGAGCCUCAUAUUUAUUAUUCUCAGUUGGCAAAAGUGUCCUUGUUUGAAGUUGUACAAGUUAAUCUCUGCCAGUUUAGCCCAAGAGCACAAGAUCACUUUCAAACUGCUUUUCCAUAUUCCCGCUUUUAAGACAUCACCUUCAUCACGUGAUAUGUCUUCUUUUCUGUAGAUGUGUGACGUGCAAAGCAAUUUAAUGCAGCACAUAGCAUCUAUGACAUCAGAACCAUUCCCUGCCAGCACUUUAACAAGAUUCCAUUUUGCAUGUCCAGCUUCAGGACUUUCCGAGGGCUCUGUUGCUUUAAGAUACAGAAGACUGGUUCAGACCUUCACAAGAAGCUGUCAGCAGAGUUUGCAAUGUCCUGCAAGCCUUGAAUUGCAUGUAGGAUUUUGUAUUGGCUCAGUAUUACUUACAGUGUUUUGCUGUUUGUGAUUAGGUUUGCAGGAAGGCUGACUGCGGAGUUCUGAUCUGGAUUUCUCCAAAGUGUUUGGGUCUGUUCUGGGCUGCAGCAUGCUGUAGUCAGCAUUUGUUCAUAUAAACAUCUGUAAAACAUUUGGCAUUACUUGAAAAUAUUAGUCACAAUUGUAAAACUAAUAAAAAUCCUUCUUUCUUAUUUUAACUAUAAGGUGGUCAUAUAUGCUGGGCACUCAUCAUUGAUUUAGAUGUUAUCUCUCUGCUAGUAACAUUUUUGCUGUGCUUGCUCCAAAGGCUGCAUUUUUGAUCUGGGAGCAAUUCUCAGCUAAGAAAAUUCAUUCAACUGAAGCUCUGUGCCAGAACUUGGAGGACUUGCAGUUGAUUUACAUCCAGGUGCUCUAUACCAAUUUGUACCAAUUCUCAAACCUCUCUGACAAACUCCACGGUAGAUUUUCAGCAUGCCCUAAUAAGCAGCACUUUCUUAUGCAAAGGGAGGCUCCUCAGAUGAUCACUCAGACUAUAAUAAAGAUGAGGACUUUGUAUAGAUAUUUUAAACACUCUAAACGAAAGGUAUUAGCAAAGUGUUGUGAAAUAAGGGCUUCACUAUAUGAAUUACUUACCUCUGAAAUGCAGUGUUAUUGUAGCAAAUUAACUAAAUCCAGAGGCACUUUCCCCUGCAGAUAUAUGCCUACAGUUGUGUCUAAAUGCAAUGCAGGAUGAAUAAAGUCCUGAGUGCCAUGUGGUAAAAAGCACUUUUCAUGUGGCAUAAGCACUUCAACCCAUGAAUUUGCAAUUAAAAUGAAUUUCAAGAGGCAUUUUACUGAGAUUACGUAAUGUAUUUGUUAAGUAUAUGCCAAAUAUUCACUGCUCAUUGGGCUUUCUGAGUCAGAAAAUUCUGUGUAUACUUUCCUUUACUAUGGACUAAAUAAGGAGCAACCACUUCUUAUCUGCUGCGGCUUGAAACAGAGAGUCAGAUAUUAUGAUUUGGCAACUUGUCAUGCUGAAACAACUCAGUCAUACAGCCACAGCCUGAGGGUGUAUACCUCCAUAACUGGAAUUUGCUGACAAAUUAUGAGAACACCCCUCAUAUGGACACUGCUCAUGCUUCAGACUAAAAUAUACAACACAAUUUAUAUAUGACAGCAUAUAUAUGACAUGCUUUUGCAUAGUCUUGCUACGUUUUCCAAAAUGUCUCAAUUUUCAGGUUACAGACUGUGACCCACUUCAAGUUCUUGCUGGGUAAAGCCAGAAGUUCUCUUUGUGUGUGUGUAAUCUUGUAAAAAUUGAUUCACAUUGGCCUGUUUCAACUUCAGAAGUCAGUCAGCAGGAAUGGCACCUCUAGUUCCCAGGAAGCAGAGAAGAGCUGAUGCUGUGUCCUUGAAAAUUUGCCCUGUAUGCCCAUCAGUGAUGGUGCGUGGCUGUGCUGAGCGCUUCAGUAACAGAGCUUUUUUCCCAAGUAUGGCUAUGAUGUCUUUGUUUAUAGAAUACUUUUCUAAACCAGGUUCAGCAUCAUGCCUACAAAAUUAGUAAUCACAUUUUUGGCAAGUAUUAGGUCAUACUAUCUGCAGAUUGUUCAUAGCUUGUUUAGGACUAAAUAAAAUUUGCUCUUUGUUCUGAGAUUAGUUUUCACUUCUACUUGGGCAGAGCUUCAGCUUUCUCAUUUAUCUGCCAAAUGUCACUUCACUGAGUCUAUCCUCCCACCCAAAAGAGGAAGCUCCUUCAAAGCUACAUUUGCUGGACUUGGAAAAUAACAUCUAAGGCUCCCUUAAAUAAUGACCAUAAAGAAUACUUCCGAGAUAGCAGACAUUAGUAUGAUGAUAUUAGUAUCAACCUCUGCUCUUUUGUUAUUCUUGUGUUUUGAAGAGCCUCAGGGAGGAUUGUAGGCACACCUUUUUCACUGGUGUCUUUUGUUGGCUGACCUGAAGGUAGAAGGUGCCCUAUCGGGCUAUAGUGAGUUUGUCUGGGGCUCUUCAUUCCAUCUGCUCUACUACUCUGCUAAGCGUUCCCAUUCCUCAAUAGAUGUGUACAAGCAGCACUCUGGGCUAGCUGUCACUCACUCGCUUUCUGAAUGCAGAGAAGAAAAGGAGCAAAUGAGGAGAGAACAGUGAGUGGGAAUCGUUUCCCUGCCUUCCUGCCCUUGUCAGGCACACAUUAAUUGUGACAGUGGUUUGAACAUCAAAGAAUAUAGACAUGAGAAGUAAAGAUGUGAGCCGACAGAAAGAGAGAAAGAGGAAAGAAUAGGUGUGGUGUUACAAGAGGAGGUGUGUGGUAGAUCUAAGGGCUUAACUUCCAUGAGGUAAUUAUAGAAGCAUAAACAAUAAAUCAGACUUUAUCUGGCAAACCUUUGACCAUACAAAAAAAGGAAGAUACAUCAGUGGGAUUAUAGGAUCUAGCUCUGUAAGGCAUGGGUUAUAGCCAUGCAGUUUUGGGCCCUCGGUUUCUCUUUGAGCAGCUUGAUAGCAAGGCAUGCAUCAAAACUGUUACUGAAAACAUGCUGUGGGUUUCUUGUAUCUUCAGCUGAAGGAGAAAGCUGUUACUGAUUACUGGCUACGCUGGUUGUAUUUCAGGGCUGGUCUUGUGUGGUGGUUUUCUUUUCAGCUCUGAAGUCAGUUAGCUGUGUGAUAACCUCCUUCUUCCCCACCAGGGAAGAUCUCCAAGAGUCCACUUCUGUGACAGAUCUGUGCAGUGGAAAGAACUAAGGUGGGAACAAAGGCUCUCCUUCUUUCCUUUUCCGCACCCCUAUCCCCUUCUCCUCCAUUUCUGCAGCACCAGAAUGAAAAUCAGGCUCCUUCACCCCUUCAUGCAUACUGCAAAAUCUGUAUCACCAUUGUCUAAUCAACAAAAUGAUUUGUAAAGAUUUCACUUUACCUUUGAUCUUGCAAAAUGAGCGUAGCUUUAAGAAAAGCCAGAUACUUUAAAGAUCACCACAUGGUUUUAAUAGCAUUUUCUACUUUGUUUCAUAACUUGAAUGAACAAGAUAUGAACAGUAUUCCUAUUGUCACCACAUUUCACUGUGUUAUCACGUUUGCUAAUAUUUCCUAGUUAAAAAAAAUUUGGCAGCUAUUAUGAAGCUGAUGUAACUUAAUAUCUGCUUCUAGCUCCAUCAGUAGAGCCUGUUCCAAAGCUUACUGAAGCUGCUAGAAACUUGCUCUCUGGCUUCAGUCUGUUUGAGAUCUGAAGUACAGAAAGGGAAAUGACAUGCUCCGAAGGUUUCCCACCUUUCAGAUCCCAUUUCUUUUCCCUCUUCAGCUAUGCAAAAGCUCUCACCACAUUGCAGAGCACAGUGUGGUUUGGAUGCUGUAUGCACAUAUGUGAACAUGAUGGGUUUAUGGGUGUAUUUUUGCUGACAAACUGAAAUUAUGGGAGAAAGAGAGAGGAAGUACUUUGUUUCAGAUUUGAAGUUACAUUUUUGAAUUGUAAAUAGAGUUUCUGAGAAUUUAAACAAAAAUAAAGAUGUUUUCAUUUCUUUGCCACUGAAAAUGCACAGAAUAAAAAUUGAGAGGAGGAGUGGAGAAAGAUGACAUCCUGGACUCUUCCGUUUUGUUUUCUCCCCAUUACUGCCAUGCUCCUUCACUUGCAUGAUGGGGGUGAGUCUAAACUAGUGCACAGAUUGCUCUUCCACUUCAUAGCCAGGCAGCUGCUUCCUGCCCUGAUAACUAAUUUCAUUUAUUUCCUUUUCAGAAGACGGCCUGCCCUGGGUGGCAAUUACAGUUGGUUAAUUUUGGCACAAUGUGAUUAAAAGCAGAUUGAUAUAAAUCACUGAACAGUGUAGCUUAUGAAAAUGCAAGUUAAAGUAGCGCCCCAACCACAGUGCUGUCAUGAGAGAAGCUGAAAGCCAGAUGUUGGUCUAAUCAUGAUAGAAAUAAUCUAGUAGCAGACUUUAUCCUCUGGAGCUUGAAAGCCUUACCUAAUGGUUUUUGUCAGCCAGAUACCUCAGUGUUGCAAUACAUAUUGAAUGUUUUAGAGGAUCAGAAGUUGGUUUGUUUUCUUGGCUUAUAGAUGGAUAUUCUGGGAGUAGGUUUGUGUACACAAUCUGCAGGAGCCCCAGGUGAAAAGCACCUAGUAGGGGAUAAGAGACAUUCUGAGUAUCUAAGGUGUCCAAGUGUCUUGGACACUCAAAAUCUUACCUUAUUUUAAAGUAACCUAUGUGUGGUUGUGUCAUUAGAAUAAUGAACAAAUAAUGAGUGCUUCUGGAAUCACCAGAGGUAGAUAUAUGUGUGUACACUGAGUGUAAUUAAAACUGCAAACAGAUCCUUCCUGCAUCUCACUGCAUUUAUCAAGGAAAAACUACAUUAAUUGAAAAUAGUGCCUGUAAGUUAAAGUCUUUAUUUUUGGAUCAGCAGAGAUGUGAUAGGAUGAGUUCACCUUAAGUUAAAUGUGAAUGCCCCGAUUACAAGCUUGUUUCAGGCUCUGUAUGGCUUAAAAUGUGAGCCUGUUCUGGCUACUGUGCACCCAUAGGUGAACUCUGCAGGCUGAAGAAUAAGUGUGGGGGCUCCUGAGCCAGCAUCCUGCCCAACACUUUCAUCUGGCAUGCUGUCAUCUCCUCUGAGAGGCCCUGCAUGAUAUUGAGGUGACACAAGGUGCAGCUAGGGAGAGAUGAAGCUAUGGUCCACAAUGACACAGUUCAUAUGUACUAGCAGACACCAUGUGCUACUGCUAUCAGUUUUCAUACCAGAUUAUUCACUGGGCUCUGCAAUAAGAAAAUGAUAGAAAAGCCAUUAAUUUGUCUGGUGAUUAAGCUGGACAAGGAAACCCUAUAAAGACCAACAUCUGCUUUCUAAAAUAGAAUAGUCCGGAUGGAAGGGACCUACUAAGGUCAUCAAGUCCAGCUACUGUGGAUGGCAUAAAAACAUUUGGUUCAGGGACAAUUUAUGCCCUCCAAAAAUGUCUUUUUUCUAGGGACAAACCCUCCACUUCUUUCAAAGGUAUUUUGCACCUGGUAUGUGCAGUCUACAUUUUAUAACAUUUUUAACAAAAGAAAAAUGUAAGAAGAGGGAACUGCUUCUUUGUUUUGCUUGAGACUUGUGCCAGAACAAUCUCCAAGGAAUUGACAGUGCCCUGAUCAGAUAGAAAUAAAUUAUGGGGACACUAUUUUAUAUCCUUAUGUGUCUCUGUGCAAAUGCAUUUGGAGAUGGUGAUGUGAAUGUGAAAAAAUAACAUUUGUGGAGAUAUGGAAAUGAAGAGGGAGGAAAAAAGAGGAAAAGAGAAGGGGAGCAAGCUGCUGAGAGCACAGCCACUCAGCCAGCUACCUGCAUCAGACAGUGACCAAAGCCUCUGCCCAAGACAGUCUUUGUAUUCUAUGAUAUGAAUUUUCUUCAACAGUAGAGCACAAUUUUCCUGAACUCUCUUUUUCUUUUCCUACCAAAAAGGAUGUUUUGGAGAAUCUUUGCUGACUGUCACAUUGCAAUUACUGCAGUGCGGAUGGCAAAGUUUGUGGGAAGGAGGAAUACUGAAGAAGAGUUAAAAAUUAAGGCAACUUGUUUGGGUUUUUCGUUGUUGUUUUUAUAUAUAACAUAUGCAGAUCUGUUGAGGUUUUUUUUUUUUCUUCAUUUUAAGAAAAGCUUCAAAAUUAGGAUAGAAAAAUGAUUUUUUUCUCAUUCCCAGUCUUUUGUUUUAAGCAUCUGUGCUUUGUUUUAAUCAUGGAUGUGCAUGAUCAAGAAAUUACACUGAGAUCUGCUCCCAUUCCAUAGAAGACUCAGAGCAAAACCUCUAUGGUUCUUCAGAGUAACCUUCUCUUGCACUGGGCUUCACAUCAUAUACUACUUAAAUCUGAGCACACACACUUUCAGAGUCAAGGCUUUACAAGGUCUGGACUGUUUCUUUCUUUGAUGAAUAGUAUAUGGUGCCAAAAUUUGCCAGAUCCUGCCUGUACAAAACAGGGGCUUAGAAUUAACAUUGUAUGUGUUUAAUGGCAGAAAAAAAAAACAGACUUGGUCUUCUGGUGGAAGGGAGUCUUAUGCACAACAGUAUCUCUGGAUUGUAUUUGUUGCUUUCACAGACAUAAUGACUUUUCCAUGUGUUUGCUGCUGCUGAAAUUGCCAUUAAAAGAACUAAGUUGAUGGUAUCAAAUUCUUGUACUUUUGUGGUAACCUUGUUCAAACAAAGCAAGAAACUUCACGCUUUUUCAGAAGCUGUACCCUUGACACAAAGAGAUACGGAAAAAUAGAGAAAGGUGAUGAGCUAUUCUCAAAUCGAGAAUAUCUAAGCCAGUAACUUAAUGCUGGCUUAACACUGUUUUGUUUGUCCUUAUUCCCCUGUAAUCAGAGAAGACUGCAGAUUCCUAGAAAUCCAUCAGUAUGGCUCAUUGCUGGUAUGGCACAGUGGUGGCACUAUGCAAGAUUUCCAACAGUGCCAACCAUGUGUUGUUUGUCUGUUCAGCAGAAGCACUGGUGGGAUAGUAAAAUGCUUGCUUGAGUCAAGAUAAUGUCAGUUGCUUAUGCUCCUUAAAAAUCUACUGGUGCUAAGAAAAUGUUGCUCUAAUCAUCUGAACGUUGCUGCUUUGAAAAAGUAUGAAUAUGAAAUCCCACAUAUGUGAUAAUGAUUUUGAGAAAGCAAUGAUCACUGCAACUAAAGCAUUUGCAUCUGUUAAAAGCACAGCUUGCUCUUUCACUUGUGUCAAAGCUGCUGGCACAGAAUUCAAAGUACUGGAUUGGCAACUCUAUCAGGAAGCAAGUGCAGCACAAAGCCAUAAUAGCUGUCUUGGUUUGCUUUUGUUAUCUAAAAAAUUUCAAGUGCUUUGGAUAACAUAAGGUGCCAUAUAACUAUGGAAGUUGUUGGGCAGCAGCUUGACAGCCAUAUGCCUAUAUCUAUAAUGUAUGCACAGCCUCAUCUUUAACUACAUGUUUUCCUUUAGCAGCUGUGGCAACAGUGGUGAGUUCAAACAAUUCCCACACAGUGAAAAUGCAGCUGGAGGUAACAGCUUCUCUGCUGAGGGCACAGAAGACACAAGCACUCCGGUCACUUAAAGACUUUCAGAGGGGCCAAAGUAACCUCAGCGCUUACUGUCUGAUCUAUGCCAACUGUGUUGCAAAGAUUCCCAUCCUAACAUUAACCAGCUCACUGUGAAGUCAUGCACAGUGCAGAAAGGCAGGGAUAUUGGAGGUCAGUUCAGCACCGUGGUGAAGCAGCACUCCUGCUCCUGGUGCUGGUGCUAAUGCAUGUGGGUCACCAGGGCUAUCUCUGCACUGCUGCCAGGGUUAAGCCAGUUCAUGGUUCUCUGCACCUGUGGAGUAAACCUUUUUUUUUUUCUGAAAACUCCUUUUUUGCCUUUCUCAGACAGUGAGCAUGGAAGAACUGAGACAGUAUGGGAGCAGCUGCAAAGGGUAUCCAAGCUCAGCUAGGAGAAGGUAUGUGUGGCUGGCCAUGAGGGUGAAGGAAAUUCAGGCAACUUUCUUUUGGAAAGGACAAGCAAAAUCUCUCCAUGUCAGAACUUUAGAGGUUUAUUUUGUAUGUUGCCUUGUGUUUCAUGUAAUAAAAUCCAGACCACGUACAGCACCAAAUCCUGCAGUUGUCAUUGUCUUAGAAGUCCUAUUCAAAGGUUAACUAACCACUAGGUGUUCCCCUGACAAAGAUAAAAUCUUUGUGUUCCAAACUUUCUGAAGAGUCUUUCAUUACAAUAAACAUCUCCUGCCCAGUAGCUGAGGCUUGUUGAGUAUAAAGAGCCUUUGUCAGGGAUGGAGCACAGCAGAGCUUCCUGAGGAUUUCUUUCCACUCUAAAACUGAGGUGGGUCUGUCCUCCCCACUCAUUUUAAUUUGUUCAUUUUUUCCUAGGAAACAAGUAUUGCUCUGGUUUUCAUUUUCCACAGGCUGCUUGAGUAUCUUGGAGUCUGGAGCUGAGGGGAAAGGAAAGGUUGUUAUCCUUAGUGGUGUUGCCUUUUAUCAUCACUACUGGCUGCUAGUAUAGAAGAGUAGUAUACCAGCCAAGGGUAUAGCAGUCACUGCUACACAUGUAGACCAUGAGGACUGCUCAGCAACAGAGGCUGUGCAGGACUUGCGAUGUGUUCCCCACUUCUCUCUGAAAUACUUCAUAGUACAUCUGGAAUACAUGUUUUCACUUUUAAAAUCUGUCCUUUUACAAAUAAAAUAGUGUGGAAUCUGCCCAGAUAAUUCUCAUUGUAGCAGCACUAGUAUUGCUUCAUUGUUAAUCUCUUUUCAGCUGUGGCAAUUGUUACUCCUCUCCUCUCCUCUCCUCUCCUCUCCUCUCCUCUCCUCUCCUCUCCUCUCCUCUCCUCUCCUCUCCUCUCCUCUCCUCUCCUCUCCUCUCCUCUCCUCUCCUCUCCUCUCCUCUCCUCUCCUCUCCUCUCCUCUCCUCUCCUCUCCUCUCCUCUCCUCUCCUCUCCUCUCCUCUCCUCUCCCUCUGUUGCUCAUGAAGCUCACAGCUUGGUUUAGAGCUACCAACCUUGGGGAUAGGAAAGCACAUCUCUGUAGCCUGGAACAAAGUAUCUAAGUCCCGUAGGAGGCUAGUUUAGACAUGCUUCUAGAGGUGGCUACCUCAGACGUUGUUUAAUCUCCCCAGAAGGCGCAGAGGAUCUCCAUCCUAUCAGGUGGCUGGUUCACGUGCAUCUUUCCUCAGGUGCCAGUUUGUCCUUGAGAUUUCUAUAUGAAUGUUACAGAAACUACUUCAGUUUCGCUUAAGUGCUUACAUCACAGAUAUGAUUGUUUCUAACAGUGCACAAGAAGAGAUCUCUCACAAAAAUAAAAGACCUGAAAAGGUGUAUUUUUAUAAACUGGUUUGCAGAAAUAAAAGAAAAGAGCACCCUGUAAAUCCAUCUAAAAGACAUCAUAGUAGUAAUGCAACUUCACUGUUUUCCAACUACUUUGAGAUUGAAUUGGGCUUUUGGCAAUUUAAUAACUUGAGCAAACAACUCUAAACUAGUCUUAGCUUUCUCCCCCACACACACUUCUUUAAAUAAAGUUUAACUUGUAAUAUGGAAUGUGAAUUGUUUGGACUGUUAAAUCAUUCCAACUCAAAACCCACUCAUCAUACAUGUGUUGAAAGAAGAAUAUAUUUUAGUACUGCGGCAGACUUUGAGUACAGUAGAGCAACAGUCUUCAAUCAACUGGACUUUCUUUCCAGAAAUAGAAAAUGAAAGCAUAAGUGCCAUAUACAUUUUUAAAUGAUUUAUCUAAAUUCAAAGAACUAACUUUUUUUGUGACUGAUUAUAACUGCGUAUAUGAAUGGCUAUGGAUAACAGGUUUCUUUUGCUUUUCAAAAUGAUAUAUAACAAAGUCCCAUGCAGAGACCUUCUAUUUACACAUCUGUUCAGCACCUGCCCAUAAUUACUUAGUUAGUUUUUAUUAUUAGGCUUGUCACCAUAUUAAUUUAGCAGUACAUUCAAAUUGAUUGUAAUUGCAAAUUUCCUGAAAAAUCUUGGUUUCUGCAAGUAUUUAAUUAAACUGAUAUCCUAAAUUAAAAAUAAUUGUGUAACUGUACUCCACUACAAUAACACAUGCAUACUUCUCUCUACAUAGAAAAUGGGUAUUUCACAUAAUUCAUACAAUAUGUGGAUUAAUAUUGUACAAUUAAAGGUCAGUUUCCACUGGAAAAGGAGGAAUAAUUAACUUCAAUAUUUAGAAACCUGACAUAUUUCAAUUAAGCAAGCAAUUUGUCACAAACUUCAUAAAUCAAGUUAUCAAGGAACAAGUUAAUAAUGGUUAUAAUAAAUAGAGAUGAUGAAAAAUAAGCCUAUUCUUUUUUGUGGCAUAAUUUUGCUUGAGAAAAUGGUUUAUAUAAAAAGCUUUCCAUGACUUCUAGGUCAUGAGAUCAUAUCUAGCAUCACUCAAUAACUAGUGACAUUUAUUUCCAUCUAAUGAUUGUUUGGAGAUCUGUGAAACGAUUGCUUGCCUCUGCUGAAUAGUCCACUCACACAUAUAAACACUGUGAAAAUCUCGUAUUUGUUGUUGAAAACACAUUUGAAACUUCUACAGUACCUCAUCUGAAGGACAGUCAGAUACUGUCCGUUCAAGCUACUAGAACAAUAGCCCAAAACAUGCUGCCCAGGAGCCCGAAACUCACCUUGUUGUUGUUUUCUUUUUCCCAGUCCUUCUGCAAGCCCAUGGAGGCUGAUAUUGCCUAGGAGGGGAAAGAAAGAUAGGUGAACUGACAGAAAAAUAGCAAGAUUUUGGUCAAAUGCCUGCUGGCUUCUUUUCAAUAGUUUCAUCAAAUUCACAGCUUUUCUACAGAACAUUUAGUUUCCAUGAGCGAGCCUUUUCUGUUGGGAAAUUUCCAAAAUGUUUGACCUGACGCUGCUCAUGCUUAUCUUUAAGUAAACUGCAGAAUCUGUUUUUCACAAUGGCUGAGUUAAUCCAUUCAGAAAUGCUAAUGCCAAUGAAUACAUAUCCACUGAGUAGCAACGUUAUGAUCAGGAUUUCGAACUCACAUAAUUCAAAGAAAAUAUGAAACAGACUUCUGAUUUGAUCCACUAUGGCUAUAAGAAGUGAGUAUGAAAUACUGCUCCAAGCUCUGCUCCAAAUCAUUCAAAGUCCAGUAGUUGCUCUCAGGAUUUGAUUUGAACUCUUACCUACAAGUUUGUCAGUAUUAACUGUGUUCAGGUUUUUUUCCACGAGAUUGGGAUAAAUAGCAAAUAGUUAAUGAUAUUCCCUAUGCAAUAUACAUUCCUAAUUUCAGAUCUACUCUCAGUACCACCUUCUGAGGAUGUUACUGAUAUUACAAACAGCAGGGAAAAAAUAGAUUUACAUGCUAUUUAAAUGAUCAUGCUCCAAAGAGAAUGGCUACAUAAGUUUUCAUUUUCUGACAUUGCCCGAUUCAAUUCCUUGAGUAUAUCCACAAGAAAAAUUUCACUGAAAUUUAAGGACAUCCAUAUAGGAUAAUAGGUUCAUGACUAAAGUUUCCAGGUGUGUAUCUAGAGAAUCACUGAUGGAUAUGUAAAAUGGGAUGGAAAAGGGAGAAGAGAGUUUGCUUUCCAAUAUAGAGGCUCACCUUUUUUCUAAUCCUUCACUGGCACUCAUCAGCAUUUCUCCAAAUGCAACAUCAAGUUGGAAAGAAACAGAAAAAAAAAUAUUACCCUGCCUUGCAGUAUUCUGUCUUCUCCAACUCUGUUAUGUUCAUAACACAAGCAUAAAUUUGAGCCUUCAUUUUAGUAUCCUAAUCCUAAGACAAGAUCCCAAGAUCCCCAAAAAUAAGCUGUCUCCAUUCUGCCUUACUUACCUUUGUGAAAAUAGGGCAGAUAGAACUCUGUUGGAGAAAAAAAAAUAAUGCAAUUUACUCUUCAAGUAACACUAUUUCCUGGUAAGUAUUCUCAAAGUGUUUUUCAUAAGAAAUGGCCAUCUUGAAUUAGAAACUGGCAUUUUCUUUGUUUGUCUAGGGGGUACAUCUUAAAUUCUAGUGUCCUGAACCAAAAUGAAAUGGGAAUUGUUACAUGUACAGGGAUGAAAUUUGUUCUGGCAUUCUCUAUUGUCCACAUGUUCACAUCAGGAUGAUUUUUCCUAUUUCUACAUUGCCGUAUACUUGGCAGGUACAGCAAUAUAAGCAGUAGCAUAGUUAAUCGAUCCAAUCCUAUCAGAGAGGAACUGAAGGGAGAUCUUUGUUGUACAAAUCUACCAGCAACAGAAAACUCUAGGCCUCUCCUUGCCAAUAAGAAUGGGUUGGAGAUUGAAUGAAUUGGGAAAUAAUAGUUAUAAAUAUGCUUACGAAUUACUGGCUUGAUCCCACAAAGCAUUUUUAUUAACAUCAAAACUUAAAAUGGGAUUGAAUUUUAGGCACAAGCUUAAAAUGAAGAUUAUGAUUAACUGCAUAGACAUCAGUAAAAUCUGUUUUUUCAGUAUUAUGCUCCCGCUGCCAGGGGAGCUUAUGCUCAGAACCAUGGGGACAGAGGGCUUUCUGUAAGACAAGAGAUUUAUUCCACCUAUAUCUGUACUAAAGAUCAUAGAGAUAUAAGAUGGCUGCCUUCUGCAGAUGGAAAUAAUGGAUCUGCCUCUUAUCUGCCAUUCCAAGUUCAUGCAAUUGAUCAUUUCUCCUACUACUUUUUCCUUCCACUCAGUGCUGCCAGAAAAGUGUGAUAACUUGUUGUAACCUAUACUUCAGGCAGCUAUCAGAUCAACAACACUGAUCAGGAGAUUACAAGUGCUGGAAAAUAAUGCAACGUCUUGCAGAAUAUAUAUCUCUGUGUCUCCUGGAAGUAAAUAUUUGUGUGGGUAGAAGUGAUCUUAGAGAAUACCCUGACUAUACCUAUGGUUCAGUUUCUCUUUCUCAUGAUCUGAGAUAAUCUGGCUCUCAUUUGAGUUCUGAGCAGUGGGGAAUUUCAUAUGUCCACAUUUCUGUAUGGUACACUAGUCCAAGGUCUGCAUAAGAGAUGGGAGAUGAUUCUGAAAAGAUUCGUAAAACUCUCAGUACCUGAGACAAGGGCAUGCAGUACUUCUGUAGUAUGAAAAAACAAAACAACUUCACCCAAAGGGGCUAUCAUACCCAUAUAGAAACCUAUGCAGCAAGAAGUUCUGUCCCACUGUCCAAGCCAGCUCUGCAACCCCAACCACAUUUCCCUUUCCUCUGAGCCUUUUCCCCAGGCUUGGCUGGGGAGGGAUGCUGCUGUGGAGUGGGGCUAUGACCAAUUCUGUUUCUUCUUCAUUCAGGUAGUGGGAAAAGGGGAGCAGACAAGGCUCUGGAGCUUUUUGCCUCUUCUCUUCCUUCCUUGGACGGGUGAUACAGAAAGAUGGAAGGAAAUCCUGUUUCUCACCCCUUGCUAGGGAAAAGGAGAAAAGUGCUCUGAGUGAGAUUUCCACCGCAUAAAGCAUGGUUUAGGGUAGCUGAGAGGAUGGGAAAAAAGCUUUGCCACAAGAGAUCAGAAAGGGACAGGUACUCAGUGGGCAGUCCCCUUCCUGCCACCCCCACACAAAAUUAUAGCCCUUAAGACUGCGAUGUAAAGCAACAUAGAGCGCUGCCCCAGAAAACCCAGAGACUGUCCUGGGACAAUAUAAUUGUCCCAGUUCCCUAUAGCUUCAGGCAGAAAGUGUGCCUUUUCUCAUUAAAGUGACUGUUAAACAUGGCCUUCAUUUGGGCUGCAGCAACCAAUAACACCUUCCAGCACUUCAUACAGAAGAAUGUAUUGGUCUCUAAUUAGAAUAAAUAUAUAAUUCUAAUAAUCCACUCAUACUCCACAUCUCUGAUAGACAAAUCACUGUCUGAAUGAAAAAUUUUUUAGGUAUUCAUGAGAGCAUAUUUCUAACUAUGGUUUGAAUACUGAAUGCAGGAAGGGCUCAUCUAUGUUAACCAGCCUGAACUUGCUUAGUCCAAAGUCAGAUCCAUGGUGCACAGGUAAUAUAACAAUGCCUUCACUCUUCCCAAGCACUGAAAAGCCAAUCUGACCACAGUGCCAGAAGAACUACCUCAGAGCUUCCCCAGAAAACCAAGAAGUCCAUAGCUCCAGGAAGUCAUUUUGGUUUGUGAGGUUUGUGUUUUAACAGCUCAGAGGGCACCAUUCCCUCCACCAGAUGUUAUAAGAGGCCAGUGGUACUGAGUUAAUGCCACUUUUUACUGUUCUCCUGGCAUUGAUAAUCCAGCACCACUAGUAUUUUCUAAAUGACCCUGUGCAGUGUAUUAAGAGCCAAGGGGAACUUUGGGUAACUGUAGCUCUUUGAUAAGUGUUGUCAGCAUUCAAGAGGCAUUUGAAUAAUGUCCUUAAUAAUAUCCUUUAACUUUUGGUUAGCCCUAAAGUGGUCAGGCAAUUGGGCUCAAUGAUCUUUGUAGGUCCCUCACAACUGAAUUAUGUUCUUCUAUUCCACUCUACUCUACUCUACUCUACUCUACUCUACUCUACUCUACUCUACUCCACUCCACUCCACUCCACUCCACUCCAUUCCACUCCACGCCACGCCACUCCACUCCACUCUAUUGUAUUCUGUUCUAUUCUGUCUUAUUAACAUAAGGUCUUUUCGUAAUACUGCUCUCUAAUAACACACAUUCAUGAGUGUUUGAGUCUCUCUGUGUGUGCAUUUGUGUUGGAUGGAAGUUACAACAUUUCGGAUAUGAAGGAUGUGAGGAUGUGGGAAUAUGUAUCUCUGUGACAUCUUGGCCAGUUUUGGCAAGCAACGUUUCCUAGCUGGGUGCUGUACUUUAAGUGUUGAGAGUCUAAUUAUAAUUAAUGGAGAAAUAAAAUUUUGGGAGAAAGAAAGGCACCAUGAAGAAAGAAAUACUAACACUUGAAAAUAUUUGACCUCCAUGGGUAUUCUUAGAAUGUUUUUUGUUUAAUGAACAAGUCAAAAUUUUGCUCUGAGACUUGCCUUAGUCUUCAGAGUAUAAAAUAUUAAAAAAAGACUAUGACUAUGUAAUAAACUAAUGAGUUUUCCUAGACCUCUACCUCUCUGCAAUAUUGGAAUUAGAAUAUGGAAGCAGCCAAUCCAUUAUCUGUCUUUCUCCCAUUCACUUCUUACCCCAACAGCCUCUGAAACAAGAACCAUCUGACCAGUGUUCAGAAGAAGUGAUGGUGGAGUAGAGGCCCUCAGCACUUCAUUAACUUGCAUCAUCCCUUCCCUCAGCUGCCCACUUGUGUGUUCAGCUGUUUAAACUAGGGAUAGGCAGCAGGAGCUUGGAGGGCUUCUUCCAUGGGACUGGGAUAUGUCAUGCUCUGUGAUGAAUCUGCUUAAAACAUGAUUGUGCAACAUGGCUCUAGUUGCACCUCAAGUCGUGAUGCUGUUAACAUAAGAAAAGAAAAACAAAAGCUUAGCAGUUAAAAAAAAAUAGGCUUCAAACCCUGCUAUGUAACCGUGAUAAAUAUAUCGUUAUUCAAUGGAGGUACUGUGGACGAGGUAAAUUAAGGUGCCUUAAUCAUGUUUUUCUAUGACUUAACUUGUGUCUUUUUUUUUUUUUUUCAAUGUUUGUUUUGAGGAUAAUUGCAGCCCCUUUGGCACAUUUGUACCCCUGACUUACUGAUAAAUAUUCUUAAGCCAGAAGAGCAGAGCUUAGCUCAGGAAAUACUUGGUGAUACUGCUUGUUAGAGGGGGUUUCAAGCAAAAGCAAUCUUGUUGAUUCAUACAGGUUUGAAAUCUUUACAGAAAUAGAUGCUUUAUUAAUGAAAACUACACAACCCAUAGCCAAGUGAAUAAUAAACUGUCAGUAAAUUAUCCCUGGAAGAUGCAAGGGAAAAAAUGCUGUUGUGUUAUUGCAAGGGUGCACUAAGGACACUGUUCACUGCAGGGGAGUUUUACUAGAUGACUUUUAAUGGUGCUUCCAACUCAAACAGUUCUGUGAUUCUAAGAUUCUAUAAGUGUAUUGCUAUCACAUACUUUUGAAUGCUAUAGAUGCAACCCAGAUCAUGGAUGGGUGCUGAAGGCACACCACUACCCCUGCUGGGAUUCUGCAGCUUCUCAUAUUCCACCACAGUAAGACAGAUUUCUUCUCUUCAUGACAGACUGAGGUUGUGAAGAGUGCAGCACAAGACUAUUGCUUCGUUUCUACAAGCUUCAGUCGGUUGCAAUAAAAAUGUCAAAUAGCCUAAUUUUGUGUGAUUAAGUGAAGACUGGCACUAAAACAAAUUAUUUGUUGAAGGUCUGUGAUUUCGAGUAACUAACCACUGUUAUGCACAGUGUUAACUGCAAUGUGUAUAUAACUACUUAGAAACAUUUCUGUAUUAGCAUGCAACUGCACAAGCUAAAUACCUAUUAGCUACAUUUAUGAACUUUUGACACCAUUGUAUGCCAAAUUAUUUUAAUCUUUUAAACCACCACAGCAUAGACAAACAUUGGAAUGGUUUGGCAUUUUUCUAUUACUUAAUUCUGAGAGAUUUCAGAGAUCAUCCAAGGCGUUGGUUUGAGUUUUCGGAGAUGAAUCAUGUGCAAAUGUAAGGGCAGGAAUACAGAUAGUUACUCCAUGCCUGGAAAGAACAAAAAUUUCCUUCUCACACCCCAACAGACUUAAAUCCAGCAGAACCUGCUAGUAAGAAAAGUCUAUGGAUGCAGUUGUCCAGACUGCAUGCCUCUGGUCUGAGGGCCCAGGGCAUUCCCUUCAGUAGGACCAGGAUUUGUCCUUAGGCCUGCUGCCAGCAAAUCUGGAUGUUGUUUUAUAGCUAUAUGAUGUUUCCACCUAGACGACACUGUUCAUUGACCACCGAUGCUUUCAGAGUAUGUGUGCAUAGACGUGUGCAUGAGAAAGACUGGCAAUCUAAAAACUGGCAUAAAGAAGUCAGGCAGAUGGAAAGACUGGAACUAAAUAUCGGUUAUCAUUUUUUAUUAUUGUUAGCCGAGUGUGAUGCAAGUUUGUGCAGCAGAUGCAAGAUGAAAGGAUCCUCCAGUGUUAACUAUCUCCAGAACCCCAGCAGAAGGAUCUUUGCUACUGUUGUGUUUCUGUACAAACAGUAUUCCUAACAUGGUUUGCACUGUAGUUCACAAGCUUUGCUAGCACCUUGAAACAUUAUUUGUAUGAGAAAUGCCAGACCAGGCAAUGUGGUGAUAUAAUACACUAAUAAAGCAAAUUCUGCACAAUGUUCAAUAGGAAAGAAUUUUUAUUUUAUGAAGAAUUUUUAUUUAAUGUAUUUUUCUUAAAAGCAAAGACGCUAUAUCACCCAUAAUAAAUCAUUCUUGGAGCUCAUUAAUGACUUUGUUAUCCAUUUCUACCCUCUCUGUUUCUAAAUUAUGGAAACAAGUUUUGGAGUGCAGUUGGAAGCAACUUAAUGCUCCAGCAUUCUGCUGUGAAUGCAGAGCAUUUUGUUAAACCUCUUGCACUAUUUCCAGAAAAGCUAGAAAUACUUUAAUGACAAUAGAAUACAAGAGGCUGUCUUUUUCUAUAAAAUAUAUGCGUACACACACAUUUUCCUUCCUGAUUUUCUUUGCAUGUGUCAAGUUAGGCAGGAAAUCUAUAGCACUUUGUAGUUGCUGAUGUAGAAAUGACUGCCAAAUGAAUGGUUUAUACUGGAAUAUCUCGUUAUUUAUAUAAGUAUGUUAAAGUAUGGACAUUUAAUUUAGUUCUCAUUCCAAACCCAUGACAAGUCACUUUGACACCUCAAAGAAACAUUUCACAUAUGGUAAGAU
ensembl:lncRNA